GUGCGGGUCCCUAGAGUAGGGGGUACACCUGUUCCCAUUCCGAACACAGUAGUUAAGCCCUACAUCGUCGAAAGUACUGCGGCGUAGGCCGUGGGAGGAUAGAACGACCUGCACA
rnacentral:rRNA from 1 species